rnacentral:rRNA from 1 species
GAAAGUUAAUUAUUAUUAAAUUUAUAUUUUUAAAGUAAUAUUAAAAUAAGUAUAUAAAAGUUUAAUUAAUUUAAGAAAAAAUUUUUUUAAUUAUAGAGUAAAGUAUAGUGAUAGAAUAAAUUUUAUUUUGUUAAAGAAAAUUUUAUUUAUUGUACCUUGUGUAUCAGGGUUAAUUAAUUAUAUAAAAAGAUUUUUUAUUCUCGAAUUUUAAAGAGCUAAUUAUUUAUAAAUUUUAUUGUGAAAUAAAUAUUUAAAAUAAAUAAUUUGAAAUGAAAUGUUAAUCGUUUUAAAAUAUAUCUAGUUAAUUUAGAAAAAAAUUUAAUUUUAAAUUUAUUUUUAAUUUUAUAAUUAUUUAUAAUAUUAAAGGUAAAUUUUUAUAUUUAAUGGGAUAAGCUAUUAAAUAGAAUUUUAAAAAUUUAAGUAAUUAUAUAAAAAAUAGAAUUAGAAGUUUUUAUUUAAAAGUGAUUUAAAUCAUUUUAUAGUAAUAUAUAAUUUUUAUAAUUUUAAAUUUUUAUAAAUUUAAAUUAAUUAAUAAAAAAUUAAUUGAAAUAAUGAUUAAAUUAGUAAAGUUAAUUAUAUUUUAUAAAAAAAAUAUAAAAUUAAUAUAAAGGAAUUCGACAAAAAAAUUUUUCACCUGUUUAUUAAAAACAUGUCUUUUUGAAUUAUAUUUAAAGUCAAGCCUGCUCAAUGAAGAUUAAAUAGCUGCAGUAUUUUAACUGUACAAAGGUAGCAUAAUCAUUAGUUUUUUAAUUGAAAGCUGGAAUGAAGGGUUAAAUGAAAAAAUUGUUGUCUCUAUUUUAAAAUUUGAAUUUUAUUUUUAAGUUAAAAAGCUUAAAUAUAUUAAUAAGACGAGAAGACCCUAUAGAGUUUAAUUAAAUAUUUUAUUUAAAUAAGAAAUUUAAUUUUGUUGGGGUGAUAAAUAAAUUAGUUUAACUUUAUUUAAUUAAGAUUCAUUUAUUUAUGAAUAAUUGAAUUUAUAUUUUAAGUUUAAAGAUAAAAUUACCUUAGGGAUAACAGCGUAAUUUUUCUUUAGAGUUCUUAUUGAGAGAAAAGAUUGCGACCUCGAUGUUGGAUUAAAAUAAAAAUAAGGUGUAGAAGCUUUAUGAUUAAGUCUGUUCGACUUUUAAAAUUUUACAUGAUCUGAGUUUAAACCGGUGUGAGCCAGGUUGGAUUCUAUCUUUUAAAAAAAUUUAUAUUUUAGUACGAAAGGACCAAAUAUAAAAAUAAAAUUUUUAAUUUUGAAUAUAAGUAU